rnacentral:rRNA from 5 species
UAACGUCCGGAAACGGGCGCUAAUACCGCAUACGUCCUACGGGAGAAAGUGGGGGAUCUUCGGACCUCACGCUAUUAGAUGAGCCUAGGUCGGAUUAGCUAGUUGGUGAGGUAAUGGCUCACCAAGGCGACGAUCCGUAACUGGUCUGAGAGGAUGAUCAGUCACACUGGAACUGAGACACGGUCCAGACUCCUACGGGAGGCAGCAGUGGGGAAUAUUGGACAAUGGGCGAAAGCCUGAUCCAGCCAUGCCGCGUGUGUGAAGAAGGUCUUCGGAUUGUAAAGCACUUUAAGUUGGGAGGAAGGGCAGUUACCUAAUACGUGAUUGUUUUGACGUUACCGACAGAAUAAGCACCGGCUAACUCUGUGCCAGCAGCCGCGGUAAUACAGAGGGUGCAAGCGUUAAUCGGAAUUACUGGGCGUAAAGCGCGCGUAGGUGGUUUGUUAAGUUGGAUGUGAAAUCCCCGGGCUCAACCUGGGAACUGCAUCCAAAACUGGCAAGCUAGAGUAUGGUAGAGGGUGGUGGAAUUUCCUGUGUAGCGGUGAAAUGCGUAGAUAUAGGAAGGAAC